rnacentral:lncRNA from 1 species
UUAGGGGUGGGUUUUUCGGUUUAAUUCUGAAUUCGGCUUGGUUUAUUUGGGUCUAGGAAAACUUUAACCAAAGUCAACUCAAAUUAGUUUAGUUUGGUUUGUGUUCAGUUUGGUGCGUAUAGGGUUUUGUUUGGUUUUGUUUGUAUUUGUUUAGUUCAUGUGUGUUGAUUUUUUAGUUUUUUUUCUAGUUCAGUUACAAAAUAUAAUUAAUAAAAAUAUAAAAAA